AGCUGGGUGAGUUUGAAAGGAAAAUACAUUCAUUCCUAAGGUAACACUUAAAUCCUUCUGUUGUUACAAGCUUGUAGUCACUUCAAAAGUAGUCGUCAGGUGUCUAGGUCUUGGGUAAUACUCUUUUGGUUAAUACUAAACCUAGCUUAAGUAGACUCUACAGUUGUGUAAAUUUGUAAAAGUAUUAUCUGAACAACUAGUGAGGUUUCAAACUCUUGUAAUUGUAGUUAAAUAGUCAUUGUAUUUUCUUGUGAGCUGUGUUUAAUGGUUUUACCUCAAAUCAGAAAAAAAAAAAAAUGAAGUGCUUGGGUCAGUUAAUAAAAAGGUUUUACCCAAAA
rnacentral:lncRNA from 1 species